AAAACAAAGAAAAAAAGAAGAAGAAGAAGUUCGUGAGAGAGUGAGGAACCGUGAGAGAGAAAGGGAGUUUGUGAAGAGAGAAGGUGAUUUUUGAAGGAGAUAAAGGAGAAAGAAGAUUGAAUCAAGAGUUUGGGAUUUUCAUAGGCUUGGAUUCCAAGAUUUCUUCAAGAUUGAGAUUUGAGCUUCGUUUGAGAUUGGGUGUUCACCAAGAAGUGAUUGAGCAAGGGUUUGACAAAUUGGCUAAGGUUGGGUGAACUUGGAGACUUGGUAACAAGGAUUUGGGUGACUUGCUCAAACGAGGUACCAACUCUAAUGUCCCCACUACGAAUCAGCAGGGAGGCGCGUGAUGCGGAUGGCUUGGACUUAUAUGUUGGCGUGGUGGUUUGGUUUUGUUUUGUGACAUUGAUUGUAUAUGGUUGGAUCUUUUACUUUGGGUAGGUGUUAGAAUACAUUUGAGGAUGCUUGGUUGUUGAUGAUUGAUAAUUGAUGUGCUAAUUAUAUACAUAA